rnacentral:rRNA from 1 species
GACGAACGCUGGCGGCGUGCUUAACACAUGCAAGUCGAACGGUGAAGCGCCUUCCUUUUUGGUGGGUGUGGAUGAGUGGCGAACGGGUGAGUAACACGUGAGUAACCUGCCCCCUUCUUCUGGAUAACCGCAUGAAAGUGUGGCUAAUACGGGAUAUUCUGGGUCUGUCGCAUGAUGGGUCUGGGAAAGAUAUUGUUUCGGUGGGGGAUGGGUUCGCGGCCUAUCAGCUUGUUGGUGGGGUGAUGGCCUACCAAGGCGGUGACGGGUAGCCGGCCUGAGAGGGUGGACGGUCACACUGGGACUGAGACACGGCCCAGACUCCUACGGGAGGCAGCAGGGGGGAAUAUUGCACAAUGGGCGCAAGCCUGAUGCAGCGACGCCGCGUGAGGGAUGGAGGCCUGCGGGUUGUGAACCUCUUUCGGCAGUGAAGCAGGCCUGCCUCGUUUGUGGGUGGAUUGACGGUAGCUGGAUAAGAAGCGCCGGCUAACUACGUG